GACGAACGCUGGCGGCGUGCUUAACACAUGCAAGUCGUACGAAGUGGCGAACGGGUGAGUAACGCUAAUCAACCUGCCCUUCAGAGGGGGACAACAGUUGGAAACGACUGCUACUCCCGCCUUCUAAUAGAUGAGCCUAAGUGGGAUUAGCUAGUUGGUGGGGUAAAGGCCUACCAAGGCGACGAUCUGUAGCGGGUCUGAGAGGAUGAUCCGCCACACUGGAACUGAGACACGGCCCAGACUCCUACGGGAGGCAGCAGUGGGGAAUAUUGCACAAUGGGCGCAAGCCUGAUGCAGCCAUGCCGCGUGUAUGAAGAAGGCCCUAGGGUUGUAAAGUACUUUCAGUCGGGAGGCGUUACCGUCAGAAGAAGCACCGGCUAACUACGUGCCAGCAGCCGCGGUAAUAC
rnacentral:rRNA from 1 species